rnacentral:rRNA from 1 species
GGACUACAGGGGUAUCUAAUCCUGUUUGCUCCCCUAGCUUUCGUGCCUCAGUGUCAGGAGUCGUCCAGGGACUCGCCUUCGCCACUGGUGUUCCUCUCGAUAUCUACGCAUUUCACUGCUACACCGAGAAUUCCAGUCCCCCCUCCGACCCUCCAGCUCAGCAGUAUCCAAUGCAGUUUCGGAGUUAAGCUCCGAGAUUUCACAUCAGACUUGCCAAGCCACCUACGCACCCUUUACGCCCAGUGAAUCCGAACAACGCUUGGGACCUCUGUAUUACCGCGGCUGCUGGCAC